AUUGAACGCUGGCGGCAGGCCUAACACAUGCAAGUCGAGCGGAUGAAGGGAGCUUGCUCCUGGAUUCAGCGGCGGACGGGUGAGUAAUGCCUAGGAAUCUGCCUGGUAGUGGGGGAUAACGUCCGGAAACGGGCGCUAAUACCGCAUACGUCCUGAGGGAGAAAGCGCGGGAUCUUCGGACCUCACGCUAUCAGAUGACCCUAGGUCGGAUUAGCUAGUUGGGGGGGUAAAGGCCUACCAAGGCGACGAUCCGUAACUGGUCUGAGAGGAUGAUCAGUCACACCAGAACGGAAAAGAGGUACGGACCACAAUCGGAAGGAAGAGUGGGGAAAAGUGGAUUGUUGGCGAAAGCCUGAUCCAGCCAUGCCGCGUGUGUUAAGAAGGUCUUCGGAUUGUAAAGCACUUUAAGUUGGGAGGAAGGGCAGUAAGUUAAUACCUUGCUGUUUUGACGUUACCAACAGAAUAAGCACCGGCUAACUUCGUG
rnacentral:rRNA from 1 species